rnacentral:rRNA from 2 species
GCAAGAGUGAACCACCUGAUCCCUUCCCGAACUCAGAAGUGAAACCUCUUCGCGCUGAUGGUAGUGUGGGGUUACCCAUGUGAGAGUAAGUCAUCGCCAGCU